AUCCAGCUGAUGAGUCCUAAAUAGGAUGAAACACAAAUCCCGGAU
rnacentral:hammerhead_ribozyme from 1 species